UACGGAGGAUGCGAGCGUUAUCCGGAUUUAUUGGGUUUAAAGGGUGCGUAGGCGGGAUGCCAUGUCAGCGGUAAAAAUGCGGUGCUCAACGCCGUCGAGCCGUUGAAGCUGGCGUUCUUGAGUGGGCGAGAAGUAUGCGGAAUGCGUGGUGUAGCGGUGAAAUGCAUAGAUAUCACGCAGAACUCCGAUUGCGAAGGCAGCAUACCGGCGCCCUACUGACGCUGAGGCACGAAAGCGUGGGUAUCGAACAGG
rnacentral:rRNA from 1 species